AAGAAUUUGCCCCGUCCUCUCGAGGAUGGGUCCUCUUCUAAACCGUGUAUACAUACCUUUGUUGCUUUGGCGGGCCGCCGUCGCGGCGUUGGCUUCGGCUGACUGUGCCCGCCAGAGAACCCCAACUCUUCUGUUUAGUAUUGUCUGAGUACUAUAUAAUAGUUA
rnacentral:misc_RNA from 1 species